AGUGAACGCUGGCGGUAGGCCUAACACAUGCAAGUCGAACGGCAGCACAGUAAGAGCUUGCUCUUACGGGUGGCGAGUGGCGGACGGGUGAGGAAUACAUCGGAAUCUACUUUUUCGUGGGGGAUAACGUAGGGAAACUUACGCUAAUACCGCAUACGACCUACGGGUGAAAGCAGGGGAUCUUCGGACCUUGCGCGAUUGAAUGAGCCGAUGUCGGAUUAGCUAGUUGGCGGGGUAAAGGCCCACCAAGGCGACGAUCCGUAGCUGGUCUGAGAGGAUGAUCAGCCACACUGGAACUGAGACACGGUCCAGACUCCUACGGGAGGCAGCAGUGGGGAAUAUUGGACAAAGGGCGCAAGCCUGAUCCAGCCAUACCGCGUGGGUGAAGAAGGCCUUCGGGUUGUAAAGCCCUUUUGUUGGGAAAGAAAAGCAGAAGGUUAAUACCCCGCUGUUCUGACGGUACCCAAAGAAUAAGCACCGGCUAACUUCGUG
rnacentral:rRNA from 1 species